GGAGAGGUCGCAUAGUGGUUUAGUGCAGCAGUUUACUAAACUGCCGUCCCUUUACAGGGACCGGGGGUUCGAAUCCCCCCCUCUCCGCCA
rnacentral:tRNA from 2 species